rfam:Citrus clementina cultivar Clemenules unplaced genomic scaffold scaffold_4, whole genome shotgun sequence.
AGUGGGCAACUGAUGAAUCUCAUUUUUUUUUAAUGGGUAAUUUGCGUCUGAAAUUUUUCAUUGAUGCUAUAUAUCACCUUGGAGAACUGAUGCCCAUU